UACGUAGGUGGCAAGCGUUGUCCGGAAUCACUGGGCGUAAAGCGCGCGCAGGCGGCGAUCUACGUCUGGGGUGAAAGCCCGGAGCUCAACCCCGGGACUGCCUUGGAUACGGGAUCGCUUGAGGAUUGGAGAGGCAAGGGGAAUUCCACGUGUAGCGGUGAAAUGCGUAGAUAUGUGGAGGAACACCUGUGGCGAAGGCGCCUUGCUGGCCAAUUUCUGACGCUGAGGCGCGAAAGCGUGGGGAGCAAACAGG
rnacentral:rRNA from 1 species